UACGUAGGCAGCGAGCGUUGUUCGGAGUUACUGGGCGUAAAGGGUGUGUAGGCGGUUGUUUUAAGUUUGGUGUGAAAUCUCCCGGCUCAACUGGGAGGGUGCGCCGAAUACUGAGUGACUAGAGUGCGGGAGAGGAAAGUGGAAUUCCUGGUGUAGCGGUGAAAUGCGUAGAUAUCAGGAGGAACACCGGUGGUGUAGACGGCUUUCUGGACCGUAACUGACGCUGAGACACGAAAGCGUGGGUAGCAAACAGG
rnacentral:rRNA from 1 species